rnacentral:rRNA from 1 species
UGGGGAAUAUUGGACAAUGGGCGCAAGCCUGAUCCAGCCAUGCCGCGUGUGUGAAGAAGGCCUUAUGGUUGUAAAGCACUUUAAGCGAGGAGGAGGGUACUGGUAUUAAUACUACCAGGUACUGGACGUUACUCGCAGAAUAAGCACCGGCUAACUCUGUGCCAGCAGCCGCGGUAAUACAGAGGGUGCGAGCGUUAAUCGGAUUUACUGGGCGUAAAGCGUGCGUAGGCGGCUAAUUGAGUCGGAUGUGAAAUCCCCGAGCUUAACUUGGGAAUUGCAUUCGAUACUGGUUAGCUAGAGUAUGGGAGAGGAUGGUAGAAUUCCAGGUGUAGCGGUGAAAUGCGUAGAGAUCUGGAGGAAUACCGAUGGCGAAGGCAGCCAUCUGGCCUAACACUGACGCUGAGGUACGAAAGCAUGGGGAGCAAACAGG